UUUAACGGAUUUGGCGGCAAGAUAACCAUUUAGAGGAACCUGCCCUAUAAACGAUGAACCACGAAAAUCUUACUUUUUUUAGAAAUCAGUUUGUAUACCGUUGUUGGCAGUUAGUUUCUCUAGAAAACUUUCAUUUAUGAAAUAUUCACUGACUUCAAGUAAAGGUGCAGCUUAUAGAAAAGGUAGAGGUGGGUUACAUUUAAAAGAAUAACACGGAUAAAGUUAUUGAAAUUAGCUUUUGAAGGUGGAUUUAAUUGUAAAGUUUAAUAAAACUUGAUAUGAGCUCUGUCUUGUGUACACACCGCCCGUCC
rnacentral:rRNA from 1 species